ACUGUGCGAAAGAAACGGCAACACAUACAGUGAACACAUACAGUCUCGCUCCGUCGACGCCGCAGUCGACGAAGUCUCUGCCAAUAUGUGUGUGUGUGUGGAAAUAAAAUUCACGCAUUUGGGUUUUGAUUAAGCAGAAACAUUGAGCAUUGAGCAUUUUGAUCGCAACAGCCGGCGUGCGCGGUUCGCUAGCUCCCCAAAAGCCCCAAUCUCCACUCUUCACUCACCACUCUCUUGCCUCUGCACAAAUUUAUCUCUGGCUUUUUUGGCUCGACGAAGAGCUUGGGCAAAGUCAAAAUCAGACAGGCGGCGGCCCCCGGCCCAGACGACCACAACGACUACGACAACGGCGGCGGUGACGACGUUCGCAAUAAAUAAAAUAAAAGGCCAGGCCGUGUCUGGGCGGCCGCACAGUCGUUCAGUUUGCACCAAAUGAGAGACAACGAAGACGGCGACAAAGAGCAAUGAGACGAAAAAAAGUUUAAAACUGUUAAAAAAUUUCAAAUAUAGAAUAUCAAGGGUCUCUAGCUGCCGGGUCCGACACCAAUUGCGAAAAAAUUUGCUGAAUGAAUGUAAUAAUCGUCAUUUUUCGCCACUGAUGACGUCACGUCCUCGGAUGGCUGGCUGGCUGGCUGCUCUCUCUCUCUCCCAGUGUCUCCCUCUCUUGUAUGUAGUCAUUAGCACGUAAUGUCUGUGUAUGGUGGCCAGAACGAGGUGUGCAAAGAAGCAUAUGACUAAUUUGGUAUUGUUAUUGCAUAAAAUCGACAACUGGCAAGACCUUCAGGGGCAGACAUCCGCAGCAAAGCAGCAGCAGCCGCCACAUCGGAGAGGUAAAAAGAGCAAAAGCUUAACCAUUAUGUGGCGGCGUCGCAUGAAGUCAUCAGCGGCAGCAGCAGAAAAAGCGGCAACAGCCUGGAAAGAGACGAACAUAUGCUGAGAGCGAGAGAGAUCGUUAACCUUUAAGCUGGACAUGGGACUCGGCACAAGGUCGUUUCCUCCCGUGGUUAUGGCGCAUGAAAUAUGGUCUCGCGCAACAUGAAGUGAAGUGGAAGCGACGCCAUUUGUUGCAGUGGCAGCAGAACACAAAACCGCGUUGCCAAGCCAGCACCAGCAAGCAACAUCUGGUCUCGUCUCGGACCUGGGCUUGGGCUUGGCUUUAUAUCUCGUCCCACAGCCCACCUUCUUGAAAGUCUCCUACCAUGCGCGCUAAUCAGAGACCGGGGCUGGUUUUUUCACUGCAGUCAGGUACCUGAAGUAGCGCGCGUGGUGCUAGACACGAACAUCUGUGUGUGGCAUCAUCUUUUCUUCAGAAUACAAUAUAUAUAAUUUCAUGUGUCUCCCAUGUCUAUUGUACUUCAUCAGGUGCUCUGGUGUGUCCUGUAACCCGGCACAUGUUGAAGUACACUCAAUAUGAGGCGAAUUUCGUGCGAAACAAUCAGUGAUGUCUAAAUUUAUAAAUUGAGUAAACAUAAGCUUAAUCUCUAAUUGAUUGUUAAUUAAGACAUUUAAGGCUGUAUUUUUUUAUAGUUAAAUCUUCAAUAAAUAUAAAAUGUAUUAAAAUAAA